ensembl:lncRNA
GUGUGUGUGUUCAGUGUGUGUGUGCUCAGUGUGUGUGUGUUCAGUGUGUGUGUGUGUUUAGUGUGUGUUCAGUGUGUGUGUGUGUUUCAUGUGUGUGUUCAGUGUGUGUGUGUGUGUUCAGUGUGAGUGUGUGUGUUCAGUGUGUGUGUGUGUUUAGUGUGUGUGUGUUCAGUGUGUGUGUGUUUAGUGUGUGUUCAGUGUGUGUUCAGUGUGUGUUCAGUGUGUGUUCAGUGUGUGUUCAGUGUGUGUGUGUUCAGUGUGAGUGUGUUCAGUGUGAGUGUGUGUGUGUUCAGUGUGUGUGUGUGUUUAGUGUGUGUGUGUUCAGUGUGUGUGUGUUCAGUGUGUGUGUGUGUUUAGUGUGUGUGUGUUCAGUGUGUGUGUGUUCAGUGUGUGUGUGUGUGUGUUCAGUGUGUGUGUGUGUGUGUGUGUGUUCAGUGUGUGUGUGUGUGUGUGUGUGUGUGUGUGUGUGUGUGUUCAGUGAGUGUGUGUUCAGUGUGUGUGUGUGUGUGUGUGUGUGUUCAGUGUGUGUGUGUUCAGUGUGUGUGUGUGUUCAGUGAUGUGUGUGUGUGUUCAGUGAUGUGUGUGUGUGUUCAGUGUGUGUGUGUUCAGUGUGUGUGUGAGUGUGUUCAGUGUGUGUGUGUUCAGUGUGUGUGUGUGUGUUCAGUGUGUGUGUGUUCAGUGUGUGUGUGUUCAGUGUGAGUGUGUUCAGUGUGUGUGUGUUCAGUGUGUUCAGUUUGUGUGUGUGUGUGUGUUCAGUGUGUGUGUGUGUGUUCAGUGUGUGUUCAGUGUGUGUUCAGUGUGUUCAGUGUGUGUGUGUUCAGUGUGUGUGUGUGUUCAGUGUGUGUCUGCAUGUGUGUUUGUGUGUGUGUGUGUGUGUUCAGUGUGAGUGUGUGUGUGUUCAGUGUGUGUGUGUGUUCAGUGUGUGUCUGCAUGUGUGUUUGUGUGUGUGUGUGUGUUCAGUGUGAGUGUGUUCAGUGUGUGUGUGUGUUCAGUGUGUGUGUGUUCAGUGUGUGUGUGUUCAGUGUGUGUUUGUGUGUGUGUGUGUGUGUG